rnacentral:lncRNA from 10 species
UGAGGUUAUGUGGACACCUGGAGGGUGAGCGAGGCUGAGAAAAGCUUUAUUGGGCAACCAGACAGCUCUCAGAAGAGAGGUGACCUGAAGCAGGAUGAGAGACGUUGAGCUCCAAACUCAGACUAAGAAACUAUAAGAAAUAUGCUUCAAUGAAGAAGCUGUUCAAAAAUGAGUAAGAUUGUUUCCUUGAGGCAAGAAAGAAAUGCAGAAGUCUUGACAAACAAAAGAAGAGAUUGCCUUAGGGAAGGGGACUACAGUGAACACUGAGAACUUCUUCCCACGCUAAGACAAUCUUUACAGAGCAAGACUCCGUCUCAAAAAAAAAAAAAAAAGU